UGGGGAAUUGUUCGCAAUGGGCGCAAGCCUGACGACGCAACGCCGCGUGGAGGAUGAAGAAUUUCGGUUCGUAAACUCCUUUCGACCGAGAUGAACACCUCGCGAUCUAAUACAUCGCGGGGCUGACAGUAUCGAGAGAAGAAGCCCCGGCUAACUCUGUGCCAGCAGCCGCGGUAAUACAGGGGGGGCAAGCGUUGUUCGGAAUUACUGGGCGUAAAGGGUUCGUAGGUGGCCGACUAAGUCAGACGUGAAAUCCCUCAGCUUAACUGGGGAACUGCGUCUGAUACUGGUUGGCUUGAGUGCAGGAGAGGAACGCGGAAUUCCAGGUGUAGCGGUGAAAUGCGUAGAUAUCUGGAGGAACACCGGUGGCGAAGGCGGCGUUCUGGACUGUAACUGACACUG
rnacentral:rRNA from 1 species